GUGGCUGCAAUGAGGGGCUCAAGCACAGGAAGAAUUAAUGUGGAGUCUGCAGAGCAAGACAAGAGUGAGGUCUAGGUGGGAAAAGUACGGCACAUAGUGACGCAAGGCUGCUUAGUCGUCAUUUCCUACAGAAACUCGUUCUAACCCAGACCUCUAAGCUUUUCAUUAAACAGAGAGCAAUGACCUGA